GUGGUGAGUGCAUCCCAGGGCUUUGUAGGUACCCGAGCUGAGGGAGUGUAGCCUUGGAGUUGGUUCAUGGCCUCACGUGCUUUUCCCUUGGCCAGUGGCUGAUUUCCCAGACUGGAUUCAUAAAGCUGUACUCAUUCUGUGGGACUUUACCUCUACAAGCUCCAGGUUAUUGGAUCCAGACUGAAUGCUUCAACCAAAGGAAGCCAGCUAAUAAGCCAGGAUAAAAAUCAUCAGUGUCCCUCUGGACCCUGGAGAGAGGGAUGUUGGUAGCUGGCAUGUAGCAAUACUGCUGGGAAUAGACUCAUGGGGGCCUUGAAAGUCAAUAGCUUACAAGUGUGGUAGCUGUGAGAACCAGCGGAGGCAGAACAGAUGAAGAGCCUGGUUCCAUCAAAACCCCAUUCCUCAAGAAUUUUGAGUACUUAACCUAUCAGACAGCUUGUGGAAAA